rnacentral:lncRNA from 1 species
AGUCACAUGACUUACAGAGAGCUGCAGGCGCCCUCCACACACAGCUCUUCAUCUUUAACUUUCUCUCUGUAAACAGAAUUUGGGUCAGUUGCAGUCUACCCAUCUACGGCAUGUCAUGGGCUUUCUCCUUACAAGAAGUCACAUGACUUACAGAGAGCUGCAGGCACCUCCCUCCUGGUCUAUAAACAUGGAGGCACACACAGUGAGAAGGUCUUUGUCUCUGUGAAAGCAGGAAGCCAGUUUGGCUGAAGAUUACCAACUAGUUUUAUUUUACAGGACUUUAAAAAACAGGCUCCUCUUGAGCUUCCUGUGACAGUUCUCUUCUCUUCAACUGAGUUUGAGGAGGACACUGAGAACCUUCAUCAUGUCCACUGCUGACAGACUGCUGGAUGAGAUCUUCUCCUGGAUAGAGCAGAGGGAGAGCUGUGCUGCUAAGCUGAGGAAACUGGCCCGGGAGCUGGAAGAACUCAGAGAGAAAUGCAACGCCACUGAAUGUGUUGGCAGCUCGGUGGCGGUGGCAGGAGCUGCCUGCUUGAUUGGAGCCGGUGUGCUCACUCUGUGCACUGGCGGAGCAGCUGCUCCAUUCUUAGGUGUGUUAGGAGCCGCAUAUACAGGUGUUGGAGCCACCAUCUCUGUGGCUGCUAAAAUCACUGAGCACUUCAUAUCCAGUGACACCAUGAAAGAUGCACAGAAGGUGGAAACGAAGAGUGACAGCAUUGCAAAAGAAAUCCAGCGUCUAUUCCGGAAACUGAAGGCUGAGAAGAAGGAGGUGAAUCACUCUGCAGACCCAGACGAACUGGACAAACACGUCAUGACUGAAGUCAUGAAAGCCAUGGCAAGACGAAUGGGACUGAAGGAUGAAAUCAACAUCAGCUACUUCAUUGAUGAUCCAUAUUUGAAUCUGGGUGGAGGACGUGGACUUGGAGGACUCAAUCCAAUGUUCACAGCUCAAAUGGUUGCACUUGCUGGUAUUUUAUCAUGUUUUGCAUUCCAGUUGAGUGGAAAAAAAUACAAAUUAUUGUUUGCUGAAGGAGCUGAACAACUGAUCAAACUGAUAUCUUCAAAUGCAUUUAAAACAUUCCUCAAAGGAGGUGCCAUGGUCAUAGGAGGAGCUAUUGGAAUGGGGUUUGCCCUUUCUGAAGCCAUCGACAACUGGAAGGAUUUAAUCAAGAAGAAUCAUGUGACCGAAGCCAGCCAAUCAUUGAGAGACACAGCUGAUGCCAUCAAAAAGAUGACCCAAACACUGAGAGAACAGUUGGACAGCAUCAAAGAGGCAUUACGAGAGCUGGCUGAAGUGAAGUCCAUCGCUGAAAAUCCACAGAGGAGCUUCUCUGACCAAAGAGAAUUAAUAAAGUUUGUCAUUAAGAACUGUGAAGAUGAAGUCGUUCGGCAGUGGUUGAGAGAAAAUUCAGAGUCUAAGGCCUUCUUCAACCUCAUUGAUAUAUUUAAUUUAGUGCAAAAACACAUUGACGAGGAAGACGAAGAGGACCACACCAACACUGUCGACAUCACCUUUGUGGCACACGGUGCUAUAGAAAACCCUAUGAUCCCAGCCAGAUGUCUGCUGCCUCUGUCCAGCCUCAAAGAUGUGGUGCUGUAUUCUCCCUGGAACUGUGUCCUUACGGCUGAUGCAGCAUACGGGAUCGCUACAGGAAAAAUAAUGCCUUGGCACAGAGUGUUUGUCUGCAAGGCAAGAAACAGCUGUAGAAUUCCUGAUGAACAGCACCGCCCCAGGAAUGUUCCAGAUGGAUGGAACGCAAUGAAGAAAGCUGAAUAUCAAAUGAUUCCUAACAUAGUAGUGGCACCACUCAGAAUACCAAAGGACGGUGCGUGGAACAGAUUUGAGGUACUAGCAGGAGAGCACGGGCAACCUGGGAGAAACCGCAUUGUCAUCCCAUUCAUCCUCCCAGAAGGGAUCAAAAUAGUCAUCCCGUUCUUUGUCGUCACCUUGGCUUUGUCUGUGGUGCUCAUUUUCUCCAGGUUUCGAGCCACACUCCAUCUCGCUGCUUGCCUGGGAAAAUAUAAUAGAAAUGGGAGACUUGAUGAGGCUUCCCUGAACAUGCAGUAUUCCUACGCUGUUGAUAACACUGCAAUGACAUGUUCAUAUGCGAUGCUCAGGACUCCAGAUGGCAUGCUGUCUGGCAGACUGUACAGAGCUUUUAAAGAUAUGUUUGAUCGGAACACCUUUCAGUUUUAGAGGCUUUUCACAGUCAAAACCACACCAGCAUUUAAUCCAGCUGAAAGUAAAAGCUAAAGAAAAAUCUACAGGUCAAGAGUAUCAAUGCUAUAAUUUAAUAUAUUUCUAAACAAGAAGCUGAAAGUGUUUUAUAGUGUAAACAUGUACACUGUAGCUUAUUUCCUAAAUGUUCACAAGCUUCUCUCAAAGUGUGUCUGCCUUCUUGCUGAGCUGACCAUGUACACAAGC